rnacentral:ncRNA from 1 species
GCUGGAGAAGGUCCCAAGGGUCCGGCUGUUCGCCGGUUAAAGUGGUACAUGAGCUGGGUUCAGAACGUCGUGAGACAGUUCGGUCUGUAUCCGUGGUGGGCGUUGGAGUGUUGAGGGGGACCGACCCUAGUACGAGAGGACCGGGUCGGACUGACCGCUCGUGUUCCGGCUGUCACGCCAGUGGCAUCGCCGGGUAGCGAUGUCGGGUAGGGAUAACCGCUGAAAGCAUCUAAGUGGGAAACCCGCCCCAAGAUGAACACUCCUGGACCGCGUGGUAGACGACCACGUUGAUAGGCGGCAGGUGUAAGGUGUGCAAGCACUUCAGCCGAGCCGUACUAAUCGCCCGUGUAGCUUGAUCUC